AGCUCCAAUAGCGUAUAUUAAAGUUGUUGCAGUUAAAAGGCUCGUAGUCGAACUUUUGGUCCUUUAGGUUUGUCCCGUUCUCUUGUAGAACGUUGUGACGAUUCUUAGGACCUUCCUGGUAGAAAGUGUUUCUGCCCUUUAUUGGGUUGGUUGCGCAAUCUGCCUCUUUUACUGUGAGAAAAACAAAGUGCUCAAAGCAGGCUUUACAGCUUGAAUGCGUUAGCAUGGAAUAAUAAGAUAGGACUUUGAUCUAUCU
rnacentral:rRNA from 1 species